rnacentral:rRNA from 1 species
UACGGGGGGAGCAAGCGUUGUUCGGAUUUACUGGGCGUAAAGGGCGCGUAGGCGGUCGUGACAAGUCACUUGUGAAAUCUCCGGGCUUAACUCGGAACGGUCAAGUGAUACUGUCGGACUAGAGUACAGAAGGGGCAACUGGAAUUCUCGGUGUAGCGGUGAAAUGCGUAGAUAUCAAGAGGAACACCUGAGGUGAAGACGGGUUGCUGGGCCAACACUGACGCUGAGGCGCGAAAGCCAGGGGAGCAAACGGG